rnacentral:rRNA from 1 species
AUUGAACGCUGGCGGCCGGCCUACCACCUGCAAGUCGAACGAGUGGCGGACGGGUUAGUAAUGUCUGGGAAACUGCCUGAUGGCGGGGGAUAACUACUGGAAACGGUAGCUCAUACCGCAUCCCAUCGGAUGUGCCCAGGUUGGAUUAGCUUGUGGGGGGGGUAACGGCUCACCAAGGCGACGAUCCCUAGCUUGUCUGAGAUGAUGACCAGCCACACGGGAACUGAGACACGGUCCAGACUCCUACGGGAGGCAGCAGUGGGGAAUAUUGCACAAUGGGCGCAAGCCUGAUGCAGCCAUGCCGCGUGUAUGAAGAAGGCCUUCGGGUUGUAAAGUACUUUCAGCGGGGAGGCGUUACCCGCAGAAGAAGCACCGGCUAACUCCGUGCCAGCAGCCGCGGUAAUUC